UAUCUCUCCGUACGGGGAAGGAUGAGAAGCUUCGACUAAGGUUCGAUUCGAGCGAAAGCGAGAAAGCGUUGCCAACGGCAACAACCCGAAGGGCGAAGCGCGCAGCGCUGAGUAAUCCUUCCCCCGUCAUCC
rnacentral:sRNA from 1 species